UGACGAAGGGGGCUAGCGUUUGUUCGGAGUUUACUGGGCGUAAAGCGCACGUAGGCGGAUCGUUAAGUCGGGGGUGAAAUCCUGGAGCUCAACUCCAGAACUGCCUUCGAUACUGGCGAUCUUGAGUCCGGAAGAGGUGAGUGGAACUCCUAGUGUAGAGGUGGAAUUCGUAGAUAUUAGGAAGAACACCAGUGGCGAAAGGCGGCUCACUGGUCCGGUACUGACGCUGAGGUGCGAAAGCGUGGGGAGCAAACAGG
rnacentral:rRNA from 1 species